UACGUAGGGUGCAAGCGUUAAUCGGAAUUACUGGGCGUAAAGCGUGCGCAGGCGGUUUUGUAAGUCUGUCGUGAAAUCCCCCGGGCUCAACCUGGGAAUUGCGAUGGAGACUGCAAGGCUAGAAUCUGGCAGAGGGGGGUAGAAUUCCACGUGUGAGCAGUGAAAUGCGUAGAGAUGCGGAGGAACACCGGUGGCGAAGGCGGCGAUCUGGGAAGAUACUGACGCUGAGGUGGCGAAAGCGUGGGGAGCAAACAGG
rnacentral:rRNA from 1 species